rnacentral:lncRNA from 1 species
AGAAAAUCUUGAGAGAACAGAAAAAAGAUUAUUUGUUAAAGCAAAAAUUAUAUUCACUGCAUUGGUCAUGAUGUUGACUCCCUCUCAACCAUGCCAUACAAAUAGACUGUAUAAUACAAUAAUGAAGGUUUUCGGCAUUUCUUGGUGACUCACUGAUGCUGUAGUACUGAGACACUUCGGUUCAUUUGCUUCAGCUUGCAAUGCAGUCUUCAAGAGGCAGGAAGCUAGUGCCAGGCUGAUAAUAGUUCAGAGCUCCACCACCCUGCUUUCCACCUGCAGUUUAUGUAUCUGUAUAGCUCUUAGAGAAGGUGUGUCAAAUGAGAGAAGUCCUUUAUUCAGCCAUCAAGUUUACCUUUAUAACAAGAGCAGCAGGAGUGGUCAAAAUUGAUGUUGAUGUAUAUAAUUCAGUGAGUAAUUCUGAGAGGGGUAAAGAAGACUCUGAUGUUUUCCAUGCUGAGAAAGGUCACAGCAGGCCUUUUACAUAGAAUGCACCAACAGGAAUAUCAGGGGUGCUUGUUGCCAGAAUGUAAAUGACUUCUACUGACAAAAUUUACUGGAGAUGAAAGACGUUAUGUAAGUCUUAUCUUCUCACUCACUUAAAAGAACUGUGAUCUGAGACAAUGUUCUGCCACUCCGGAAAUAAUGGUUAUGUUGGUUUCCAGGCUAGGUGAGUUAGAAAAUUUGGGGCUAAAAUGUAUUCCUUCUAUUCUGUCAUUAACUCUGCAGGAUCUUGUAAACUGCUUGGGUCUCAGAUUCCUCAUCUGAAUAAUCAUGUUUAUUUUUAAAUGCAGGUAGGGAAUAGAUAUUUAACUACUAUAGCUAACAACUUGUUAAUGUACCUGGAGAGGACUUGACAAAUAACUGUCGUUGUUAGGUUACCUCAGAUGCAAAACAAACACCAGCAUUGUUUUUAUUCAAGAUCUGCAGAAUGGUUGCUCAUAUGUUCUUAAAUGUUAAGAAAAUUCACUAGAAUUCUAAUGCAAAGCAUUUUAUUAUUCCACAACUUUUCUUCUACUGUGGAAUAUAUCC